rnacentral:rRNA from 1 species
UACGAAGGGGGGCUAGCGUUGUUCGGAUUUACUGGGCGUAAAGCGCGUGUAGGCGGGUCGUUAAGUUGGGGGGUGAAAUCCCGAGGCUCAACCUCGGAACUGCCUUCAAAACUGGCGACCUGGACUCAAGUAGAGGCAAGUGGAAUUGCGAGUGUAGAGGUGAAAUUCGUAGAUAUUCGCAGGAACACCAGUGGCGAAGGCGACUUGCUGGACUUGUAGUGACGCUGAGACGCGAAAAGCGUGGGGGAGCAAACAGGG